CAAUAAGCGGAGGAAAAGAAACCAACAGGGAUUGCCCCAGUAACGGCGAGUGAAGCGGCAAGAGCUCAAAUUUGAAAUCUGGCCCCCUCGGGGCCCGAGUUGUAAUUUGCAGAGGAUGCUUCGGGUCCGGCCCCGGUCUAAGUCCCCUGGAACGGGGCGUCAUGGAGGGUGAGAAUCCCGUCUGGGAUCGCCGGCCGGGCCCGUGUGAAGCUCCUUCGACGAGUCGAGUUGUUUGGGAAUGCAGCUCCAAAUGGGUGGUAAAUUUCAUCUAAAGCUAAAUACUGGUCGGAGACCGAUAGCGCACAAGUAGAGUGAUCGAAAGAUGAAAAGCACUUUGAAAAGAGAGUUAAACAGCAUGUGAAAUUGUUGAAAGGGAAGCGCUUGCGACCAGACUCGCCCGCGGGGGCUCAGCCGGCAUUCUUGCCGGUGCACUCCCCCGCGGUCGGGCCAGCGUCGGUUUGGGCGGUCGGUCAAAGGCCCCCGGAAUGUGUCGCCUCUCGGGGCGUCUUAUAGCCGGGGGUGCAAUGCGGCCUGCCUGGACCGAGGAACGCGCUUCGGCACGGACGCUGGCGUAAUGGUCGUAAGCCGCCCGUCUUGAAACAC
rnacentral:rRNA from 1 species